AAGAAUUGUAAUUCAACUGUUAGAGCAUCGCCCUGUCAGGAAAGAAGUCGCAGGUUCAAUUCCGGGCAAUUCUA
rnacentral:tRNA from 1 species